rnacentral:rRNA from 1 species
GACGAACGCUGGCGGCGUGCUUAACACAUGCAAGUCGAACGGAAAGGCCCUGCUUUUGUGGGGUGCUCGAGUGGCGAACGGGUGAGUAACACGUGAGUAACCUGCCCUUGACUUUGGGAUAACUUCAGGAAACUGGGGCUAAUACCGGAUAGGAGCUCCUGCUGCAUGGUAGGGGUUGGAAAGUUUCGGCGGUUGGGGAUGGACUCGCGGCUUAUCAGCUUGUUGGUGGGGUAGUGGCUUACCAAGGCUUUGACGGGUAGCCGGCCUGAGAGGGUGACCGGCCACAUUAGGACUAAGAUACGGAGCAGACUCCUACGGGAGGCAGCAGUGGGGAAUAUUGCACAAUGGGCGGAAGCCUGAUGCAGAAACGCCGCGUGCGGGAUGACGGCCUUCGGGUUGUAAACCGCUUUCGCCUGUAACGAAGCGAGAGUGACGGUAAUGGGUAAGGAAGCACCGGCUAACUACGUG